UGCAAAGAGAUGGCAGAAUUCUGAUAUGACAUCAUUGUUUUAGCACCAUCUACUGAGUUUUGGAACUACGGUGUGCGACAUGGUUCAAUGUUCCAAUAUAUCAGCACAAUCUACUUUUUAGAUUUUUCAAAUCGCCGCCGUCUUGAAGCAAAAAUUGGGAUCAUGUUUACUGCGCUAAUGACCAUACCAAAAAACAGUAAAAAAAAAAGAAAAAAAGAGCAAUGUAGAAUACAGUGAACUCAGCAAAACAAGGAAUUUGUGUUCCACUCUGCCCCGGUGUUUUCCUGCAGUCGACAAGAUCCAGCAGUAAAGCGGAACUGGGAGGCGUUUGACAUGGGGACUCCGGGAGGGUAGAGGGGAACGGGCUAGCGUUGUCCUGUUGGCCGCAAGAAGUAUUAAAACGUGUAUAAUUAAACCAAAUAUUGUAUUCA